GGGGAUGAUGAUGUCCUGUCUGCUCUCGUCGUCUGCUCAAAGAAUAAUAUCCCAGCAUUGAGAAGGGGAAAGCAUCUAUUUGGUGUGACCAGUGGCAUCGCAGCGUCAUUACUGAGACCCAUGGCCACCAUUCGAGGGCACGAGUGACAUGAAAUGAAGACUCACCUGACCCUUUCAAGGGAAAUCCACGUCCCUGUGGGCACCUGGGAGAACCCGCAGCAGACACAGCACUGUCUCCAGAACUGCCAUCUCCUCAGUCCUGUGGGGAGAAGACAGCAAAGGCGACCCCUUGACCCACGUGGCUGCAGGCCCAGUGUGGACUUCUGGUUAUUAGCUGAGGAGGAGUUGCUGCAUGUGGGGCUGACUCCAGCACUUCUCAGCGGUCACUUCAUUUGUUUUCUGCAGCCUUUCAAAUUUCAGUGGCCUUAAAUAAUCCUGCUGUAUUUAAAAAGAACACACUGGAAGUGACCCUCUGUCUUAGGUCAGCUCUGCGUCAGCAGGUCCUCCACUUGCUCCUGAUUUUCUCCAACAGCAAGAACACUCGCCACCUUACUCACAAAGCACAGAGCAGUCUCUUUAACAAAGACUUUUCAUUCUAGAGUCUAACUAGAUGUGAUAGAGUUGAAGUUGAUUAUCUAAUCGGAUAGAAUCUAAAAGUUCAGUUUAUCAAAAAAAAAAGUAAGUAUAUCCAUAGACUUUUAAGCAAUCUGUUACUCUACUUAACACUUGCAGAAAGUUUUAAGGUAUUUUAAAAAGUGCAACACAGUUCUGCUUUAGAACAUGCCAAGUCCUUGAUUAUUGCCAGCUUUUCUACACUAUUUAGGUUGUCAAAUGUCACUGAAUUUAUGAUUAUUUCCAAGUAAGUUUUAUACCAUGCUUAUAGCAUAAACAAGGACAGCAUCAAUAAUAGUGGCCGUGUGAUGGUCAUCGGCUCUGGGGCUGCCCCAGGCCACCCCCACACUCAGCCUGACGCAAGAGGGAUGGGAGGUGGUGUUCCGUGUAAGCACCUUGUUUUAGAAAUGCCUGUCCUCCUAAAGAGGAUUCCUGCAAAUCACUUUUGCUGAAUUGAAUUGAAAUUGAAAUUAGCUGCUGAGGUCCAAGUGAAGUCUAACCUGGGUGGAUCAAGAACAUUUCUUUUUUUUUUUUUUAAAGAUAGAAUUUUAUUUUCUUUAUUUUGGGGGCCACGCCACAUGGCUUGUGAGAUCUUAGUUCUCUGAUCGCAGGCCCUUGGCAGUAAAAGCACAGAGUGCUAACCACUAGACCGCCAGGAAUUCCCAUACAACUUUUCUGAUUUCAACUGCAUCUCAGGCAUAGACAGCUUUGCUGAUAAAUCUGAUGCUCCAGAAGAAUGUUAUCACCCAGAAGCUCUCGCUUCAAUGUGAAUUUUCACCAGGACUUUACUGGUUUUUCGGAGAGGUAAUAAGUGUAGAUACAAAGGGCUGGGUCCUCCAGGUGCUAGAAAUGUCCCCACCGAGGCCUGGGGACAGAUGUGUCCUGUUUUUGUUUAAUCUAUGCCCUCAUUGAAAAUUUUUUAUAUAGAGCGGACACCUUACCAUUUCAUUGUAAAGACGCUAUUAUGCAUCUUAAGAGAUAAAGAUCUAAAAGAAAAUACGUAACCGUAAUGCUAUCUUAUUCUAAAUGAAAUUGACACUGAAAAAUAAGUUGUAUUUUACUGUGUGUCAUGUAUACUUCAGUUUAUAAAGAGAGAGAGAAAAAUGGACAGGAUCAGAAGUUAUUUUGGGGAGAGAGGAGAGGAUAGAAAAGGAGUGAGGGAAAGGAAGGGGGUGGGAGGAAAAGGGGGGCUCUGCAGGUGUAGCCCCUGCACCUCCUUCUCUGUCUGUAAGUGGGAGCCUAGUUCUUCCUGCUUGGGGUUCUUGGGGGAGAUUAAAUGAGACAGUGCAACAAGCACUUGGUCCAGUACCUGCUGUAUAUCACGGGCUCAAUAAAUGGUAGCUGUUAUUAAUAUUAUUAACUAUA
ensembl:lncRNA